GAUGAACGCUGGCGGCGUGCCUAAUACAUGCAAGUCGAGCGAACGGACGAGAAGCUUGCUUCUCUGAUGUUAGCGGCGGACGGGUGAGUAACACGUGGAUAACCUACCUAUAAGACUGGGAUAACUUCGGGAAACCGGAGCUAAUACCGGAUGAUAUUUUGAACCGCAUGGUUCAAAAGUGAAAGACGGUCUUGCUGUCACUUAUAGAUGGAUCCGCGCUGCAUUAGCUAGUUGGUAAGGUAACGGCUUACCAAGGCAACGAUGCAUAGCCGACCUGAGAGGGGGAUCGGCCACCAUGGAACUGAGGCACGGUCGUGCAUCCUACGGGAGGCAGCAGUAGGGAAUCUUCCGCAAUGGGCGAAAGCCUGACGGAGCAACGCCGCGUGAGUGAUGAAGGUCUUCGGAUCGUAAAACUCUGUUAUUAGGGAAGAACAUAUGUGUAAGUAACUGUGCACAUCUUGACGGUACCUAAUCAGAAAGCCACGGCUAACUACGUG
rnacentral:rRNA from 1 species